GUCUUCUCAACACACUUCAACUUCCUUGUCGUCAGUGGCACACCAAUGAAAGGCCAUGAACACAGUGAGAAGGUGGUCAUCUGCAAGCAGGAGAGCUCUCACCAGAAACCAAAUGGGCCAGAACUUUGAUCUUGGACACCCAGCCUCCAGAACUACAACUCCUGGCCACAGAAAAUGGCGCCCACCCAGCAUACUGCCCACGGCUGUCACUCCCAUGGCAGCUGAUGGCUCACCGGGAUUCGUGCUCACGUGGAGUGCCCAAUACACCUCUGAACGACAGCAGUGGACUGUCAUUGAUUUUUGCAUUAUAAUUUGUAUAUUUAUCCCACCAACAAGGUGCUCAGUGUGGGGCAUAUAUUAUAAAUAAAACACUUUGCUCUUGA